GACGAACGCUGGCGGCGUGCUUAACACAUGCAAGUCGAACGAAGAGCGACGGAAGCUUGCUUCUAUCAAUCUUAGUGGCGAACGGGUGAGUAACGCGUAAUCAACCUGCCCUUCAGAGGGGGACAACAGUUGGAAACGACUGCUAAUACCGCAUACGAUCUAACCUCGGCAUCGAGGAUAGAUGAAAGGUGGCCUCUACAUGUAAGCUAUCACUGCAGGAGGGGAUUGCGUCUGAUUAGCUAGUUGGAGGGGUAACGGCCCACCAAGGCGAUGAUCAGUAGCCGGUCUGAGAGGAAGAACGGCCACAUUGGGACUGAGACACGGCCCAGACUCCUACGGGAGGCAGCAGUGGGGAAUCUUCCGCAAUGGACGAAAGUCUGACGGAGCAACGCCGCGUGAGUGAUGACGGCCUUCGGGUUGUAAAGCUCUGUUAAUCGGGACGAAAGGCCUUCUUGCGAAUAGUGAGAAGGAUUGACGGUACCGGAAUAGAAAGCCACGGCUAACUACGUG
rnacentral:rRNA from 1 species